rnacentral:rRNA from 1 species
ACGUAGGCACCAAGCGUUAUCCGGAUUUAUUGGGCGUAAAGAGCUCGUAGGCGGUUUGGUAAGUCGGGUGUGAAAACUCUGGGCUCAACCCAGAGAGGCCACUCGAUACUGCUAUGACUAGAGUACGGUAGGGGAGCGGGGAAUUCCUGGUGUAGCGGUGAAAUGCGCAGAUAUCAGGAGGAACACCAGCGGCGAAGGCGCCGCUCUGGGCCGUAACUGACGCUGAGGAGCGAAAGCAUGGGUAGCAAACAGG